AACCCUCACUCCGUUUUCUCUCUCGAUAUCUUUUCUUUUUCUUCCAUCCUCAUUUUGUCUGAAGAUUCAUUUAUUGAACUGGUGUUAGAGAUAAUAUCAGGUGAAGAUUGAGAGGAUUCUGUGUGUUGAUUUACUUCAAAGUUAUCAGCAGAUAUGACAUUGGGUGACCCUGAGGGUAUUCUUAGUGGUGGUGGUGGUGACCAUGUUCUCAAACUUCACAUCAAGAAUAUGAUGGAGGAGGUUUGUAAGGGAAUGAUUCAGGAUUCCCAGAAGAGCAUGUUGGGUUUUGCGGAAACCCUUGUCGGCUCCUUAAACUUGGCCUUCUCCGAAACUAAGAACGCCGACGACUUGAAAGAGCUCAAGCAGCAGUUGAAGGCUACU